CCUUUAAAAGAGACACGUGUCCACGCCGUCUAAGUGAAUGCUUUGCCACAGUCUUCGAUGUUCUGAAAUGAAGCCUGGGCUCAGAUUCGCUUAGGCCGGAGUUUGACACGGCAUUUUUCUAAUAUC
rnacentral:pre_miRNA from 15 species